ACUGGGGACCCUGCGGAGACGGGUCUUCGUCCGGCACCCACCAAUCAGAACUCCAAAACCGAACCUGUCCACACUGCGGAGUGGGCCCAGAUGGGAGGGGCAGCCGUGGCCGCCACGGGAAGGAAAGGAGACUCCCCACCCAGAGCUCCAGACCCACGUCCAACGGCUUUGUGGCUGCCUCUCCCUGAACAUCCCAGAGGAGAGGGGGCCAGGGGUUGCUACACACCUGGAGAUGGAGUUCUCUGAUGCGAUGUCCUUUGGGGUCCGGACUGUCGUGAAGGUCUCCCCCUCUGACCUUUGUGUUCCCUGCGGCCUUUGCCAGUGACACGGGAGAAGUCCAUCCGGGGAGUCCGAGGUGUGGAGGUGACCGACGAGGGGGGUGCGUCCACUGCCUUGGAGAUCUUGGACACAGAG